rnacentral:rRNA from 1 species
AUUGAACGCUGGCGGCAGGCCUAACACAUGCAAGUCGAGCGGAUGAAGGGAGCUUGCUCCUGGAUUCAGCGGAGGACGGGUGAGUAAUGCCUAGGAAUCUGCCUGGUAGUGGGGGAUAACGUCCGGAAACGGGCGCUAAUACCGCAUACGUCCUGAGGGAGAAAGAGGGGGAUCUUCGGACCUCACGCUAUCAGAUGAGCCUAGGUCGGAUUAGCUAGUUGGUGGGGUAAAGGCCUACCAAGGCGACGAUCCGUAACUGGUCUGAGAGGAUGAUCAGUCACACUGGAACUGAGACACGGUCCAGACUCCUACGGGAGGCAGCAGUGGGGAAUAUUGGACAAUGGGCGAAAGCCUGAUCCAGCCAUGCCGCGUGUGUGAAGAAGGUCUUCGGAUUGUAAAGCACUUUAAGUUGGGAGGAAGGGCAGUAAGUUAAUACCUUGCUGUUUUGACGUUACCAACAGAAUAAGCACCGGCUAACUUCGUG